rnacentral:rRNA from 1 species
GUGGGGAAUAUUGGACAAUGGGCGAAAGCCUGACGCAGCCAUGCCGCGUGAAUGAUGAAGGUCUUAGGAUUGUAAAAUUCUUUCACCGGGGACGAUAAUGACGGUACCCGGAGAAGAAGCCCCGGCUAACUUCGUGCCAGCAGCCGCGGUAAUACGAAGGGGGCUAGCGUUGCUCGGAAUUACUGGGCGUAAAGGGCGCGUAGGCGGACAGUUUAGUCAGAGGUGAAAGCCCAGGGCUCAACCUUGGAAUUGCCUUUGAUACUGGCUGUCUUGAGUACGGGAGAGGUGAGUGGAACUCCGAGUGUAGAGGUGAAAUUCGUAGAUAUUCGGAAGAACACCAGUGGCGAAGGCGACUCACUGGCCCGUUACUGACGCUGAGGCGCGAAAGCGUGGGGAGCAAACAGGAUUAGAUACCCUAGUAGUCC